AAGAAAACAAGAGUCUUAUCAGAUCCACAGGACUGGCCAAGCAGUUCUUCCUGUAACUGCUCUUUAUGGGUAGACCCAGAGGAGAAGGUUUCAGGUUUUGUUUGGAAAAAGCCAGACUGCAUGACGUCCCUCAGUACUGAAUCUCCAAAGGCUCUUCCUUUUCAGUCUGUGUGACCCCCGACUCAGACCAUGUGUGGCAGCUCCCAACAGCAGGCACUGCAGAUGUCCCAGCAGAGAUGGAGACCCCCACUGGGAGAGGAGACCUGCUUCCAAGCUGUGAGGAGCCAGCUGCCAAAACUUACAGAUGUCCUUCCAAGUGUCAAUGUUGCAAAUCAGAAAAAAAAAAAGUCCAUGGGUAUGCAUGACUCCAGCCAGGAGGGCAGUGUGGCCAGCAGAUAUGUGGAUUCUUAGUGACAGAAGGAUAAUAAAAGUACUGGACUUGAUAGAAAGAGGAAUUUUAAAACUUCAGCACUCUUAUUUCUGCAGGAUUCUGGUCUCCAGAUUGCUCAGCAGAGGGUAGGCGCCCUCGUGGAGGGAAGGGAACCAGGAAAUGAGUUUCAUUGAAUGAAUGUGGGGGAGAGUGAAAGAAUUCUCUACGGAGGGUCUUAAAACCAUUCCGGGCUUGUUUUAAAUUUAGAGAAAAUUAAGUCAUUCUGCAAUCAUUUUAGGGCUGUGCAUGAGGUCAGGAGAAACUAUUUUGGAAAAUAGAUUAUAUCAUGUCACUUCUCUGCGUAAAACCACUGGGAACUUCCAUUAGAAUAAUGGAAGCCAGGCAGAGCAGCAUGCUCCUGAUCCGAGCUACUCAGGAUGCUGAAGGAGGAGAAUCCCUCCCUUGAGCCUAGGAGUUUAAGACCAGCCUGGGCAACAUAGCAAGACCCUUUAUUUUUUAUUUUUAUUUUUUUUGAAGAGUGAGUCCCGAAUGCCCCGCCACAACCUGCAGACCUUCCUGGCAGACCCUUGUCUAUAUUUCCCGCCUCAUCUCCCAUUCAGUAGACUCCCCACAUGCUGGUCUUCUUUUGAUCCUGCAAGCUCCAAACUCAGGCUCUUUAUUGAACCCCUCAAAGGGAACCUGCUGUUCUCUUUUCCUAGAAAAGUGGUGUUCCUGGCCUUAGCUUACGAAAAUGCUUUUCAAACUACAGAUCAUAACCCAUUAGUGGGUGGUGAAUUAAUUUAGUGGGUCACAACUUACUUUUCUUUUUUUUUCGAGAUGGAGUACCGCUCUGUCACCAGGCUGGAGUGCGGUGGCACCAUCUUGGAUCACUGCAACCUCUCUCUCCCAGGUUCAAGCCAUUCUCCUGCCUCAGCCUCUCAAGUAGCUGGCAUUACAAGCAUGCACCACCAUGCCCAGCUAAUUUUUGUAUUUUUAGUAGAGAUGGGGUUUCACCAUGUCAGGCUGGUCUCAAACUCCUGACCUCAAGGGACCUGCCCGCCUCAGCCUCCCAAAGUGCUGGGAUUACAGGGAUUACAGACGUAAGCCACUGCAACUGGCCCAUAACUUAUUUUUCUAAAAAAAAAAUGUGUACAUGUAUAUUCUGGAUACUGUAAAAUAAAUUUCUUGCUAAUGGGUCUUAGUUCAUAAAUGUUGACAGCCAGUGGCUUAGGAGUUGGUGGUGGAUAAUUCAGGCUUUGUUUUUUGUUUUUUGUUUUGAGACAAGGUCUCAUUCUGUUGUGGAGUUCAGUAGCAUGAUCUCAGCUCACUGCAACCUUCACCUCCUGAGCUCAAGCAAUCCUCCCACCUCAGCCUCCCAAGUAGCUGGGACUAUAGGUACAUGCCACCACAGCUGGAUAAUUUUUGUAUUUUUUGUAGAGUCGGGGUUUUGCCAUGUUGCCCAGGCUGGUCUUGAACUCCUGAGCUCAAGCAAUCUGUCCACCUUAGCCUCCCAAAGUGCUGGGAUUAAAGGCGUGAGCCACCACGCCAGGCCUUUUAUUAUUUUUUUCCCCUAAUAGUGCAGAGGCACUAUAACCAAUGUUUGAUAGAAGUGAAUUGCACCUGGCCUCAAAGAUCAUUAACCAGCUUAACGAAUUUUUGGUGUCCUAUGUAGUGGAAGAAAAGAAGUGUGGGAGUUAACAAAAUGAGCACAAAUUCUUCCCUUCCCUGCUCUCUUGCCCUUGCAGUGUGAUUGCAGCUCCACCUAUCAUGAGAUGGACUUUAUUUCUCGAUCUCUGGAAUCUGGGCCGAGCUUGUGACUUACUUUGAUCAAUGGAACAGGUAGCAAAUAUGACACAAGCAGAAACUUGAAAAGUCCUAGCACAUUAGGGCUUGCCUACUCUUCCUACUCUUGAGAAUCCCGUAACAACCACCUUAUUUAUAAGCCUCAGCAAGCCUGCUGGAGAACGAGUGACACGUGGCCCUGUUACCCCACUGCCCUAGCUGACAGCCAGCACCAACCACCAGACAUGUGAGUGAGGCCAUCCUAGGCUAAGUGCCCUCAGCUGACCCACUGAUGAAUUGCAAACACAUGAGCAAACCCAGCUGGGAUCAGCCAGGCCUGGCCCAGAUCAGAAGAACCAGCCACUUGACCUGCAGACUUGUGAGUAACAAUACGUGACUGUUGUUUUAAGCUACAAAGUUUCAGGAUGGUUAGUUAUUGCAUCAAAAGCUAACUGAUACAAGGAAAAUGGGAAUGGAAAUGGAAGUUAAAAGAGGAAAUAGAUGAAGGCCAGGCACCCUGGCUCACACCUGUAAUCCCAGCACUUUGGGAAGCGGAGGUGGGUGGAUCACUUGAGGUCAGGAGUUCGAGACCCACCCUGGCCAACAUGGCGAAACCCUGUCUCUACUAAAAAUACGAAAAAUAGCCGGGCAUGGUGGCGCACACCUAUAAUCCCAGCUACUCAGGAGGCUGAGGCAUGAGAAUAGCUUGAACCCAGGAGGCGGAAGUUGCAGUGAGUCGAGAUCAUACCACUGCACUCCAGCCUGGAUGACAGAGCAAGACUGACUCAAAAAAAGAAAAAAAAAAAAAAAGAAAAGAUAAAUGAAACAGAUGUGAAAACGGAAGUUACAGUGAAAUGAGAGGCUGUUGGCAAUAUUUAUCCCUUCUCUCCAGGCCUACAGGGAGGCUGAAUUCUUCGUCCUGCAGAACAGUAGGUCCAUUCCUGAAUCUCAGGGAUGGUAUUUCAAAGCCUAGCUCAAUGUCUAACUUGUAGAAUUAUCCUCAGUAAAUAUUUGUUGAAUAAAUCAAUGGCUUGGAGAUAAUUUCUUCCCUUUGAAUUGUAAGAUAAAGCUUGGAAAUUGGCUAGCAG
rnacentral:lncRNA from 10 species